rnacentral:rRNA from 1 species
UACGUAGGGUGCAAGCGUUAAUCGGAAUUACUGGGCGUAAAGCGUGCGCAGGCGGCUUUGCAAGACAGAUGUGAAAUCCCCGGGCUUAACCUGGGAACUGCAUUUGUGACUGCAAGGCUUGAGUGCGGCAGAGGAGACUGGAAUUCCUGGUGUAGCAGUGAAAUGCGUAGAUAUCAGGAGGAAUACCGAUGGCGAAGGCAGGUCUCUGGGCUGACACUGACGCUCAUGCACGAAAGCGUGGGGAGCAAACAGG